rnacentral:rRNA from 1 species
GGCCUGGGCGGGCGGUCUGCCUUACGGUAUGUACUGUCUGCCUGGGUCUUACUUCUUGGUGAGCCGGCAUGCCCUUUACUGGGUGUGUCGGGGAACCAGGACUUUUACCUUGAAAAAAUUAGAGUGUUUAAAGCAGGCAUUUUUGCUCGAAUACAUUAGCAUGGAAUAAUAAAAUAGGACGGUUGGUUCUAUUUUGUUGGUUUCUAGGAUCACCGUA